rnacentral:rRNA from 1 species
GUAGGUGGCAAGCGUUGUCCGGAAUUAUUGGGCGUAAAGCGCGCGCAGGCGGUCCUUUAAGUCUGAUGUGAAAGCCCACGGCUCAACCGUGGAGGGUCAUUGGAAACUGGGGGACUUGAGUACAGAAGAGGAAAGCGGAAUUCCAAGUGUAGCGGUGAAAUGCGUAGAGAUUUGGGGGAACACCAGUGGCGAAGGCGGCUUUCUGGUCUGUAACUGACGCUGAGGCGCGAAAGCGUGGGGAGCAAACAGGAUUAGAUACCCUGGUAGUCCACGCCGUAAACGAUGAGUGCUAAGUGUUAGGGGGUUUCCCGCCCCCCUUAGUGCUGCAGCUAACGCAUUAAGCACUCCGCCUGGGGGAGUACGGCCGCAAGGCUG